rnacentral:rRNA from 1 species
UGGCUCAGAACGAACGCUGGCGGCGUGCUUAACACAUGCAAGUCGAGCGGAAAGGCCCUUCGGGGUACUCGAGCGGCGAACGGGUGAGUAACACGUGAGUAACCUGCCCUUGGCUUUGGGAUAACCCUCGGAAACGGGGGCUAAUACCGGAUAUUCAUGCUCGACGGCAUCGUCGGGUGUGGAAAGUUUUUCGGCUUGGGAUGGGCUCGCGGCCUAUCAGCUUGUUGGUGGGGUGAUGGCCUACCAAGGCGACGACGGGUAGCCGGCCUGAGAGGGCGACCGGCCACACUGGGACUGAGACACGGCCCAGACUCCUACGGGAGGCAGCAGUGG